rnacentral:rRNA from 1 species
AUAGUGGAGCCGCAGGGACACCGAGUCUUACCUGGGCGUUAAGUUGCAGGGUAUAGAACCGAAACCCGGUGAUCUAUCCAUGGGCAGGUUGAAGGUUGGGUAACACUAACUGGAGGACCGAACCGACUAUUGUUGAAAUAUUAGCGGAUGACUUGUGGCUGGGGGUGUAAGGCCAAUCAACCCGGGAGAUAGCUGGUUCUCCCCGAAAGCUAGUUAGGUAGCGCCUCGUGAC